UACGUAGGGUGCGAGCGUUGUCCGGAAUUAUUGGGCGUAAAGGGCUCGUAGGCGGUUUGUCGCGUCGGGAGUGAAAUCCACUGGCUUAACUGGUGGCUUGCUUUCGAUACGGGCAGACUGGAGGUAUGCAGGGGAGAACGGAAUUCCUGGUGUAGCGGUGAAAUGCGCAGAUAUCAGGAGGAACACCGGUGGCGAAGGCGGUUCUCUGGGCAUGUCCUGACGCUGAGGAGCGAAAGUGUGGGGGGAGCGAACAGG
rnacentral:rRNA from 1 species